rnacentral:rRNA from 1 species
AUUGAACGCUGGCGGCAUGCUUUACACAUGCAAGUCGAACGGUAACAGGCCUUCGGGCGCUGACGAGUGGCGAACGGGUGAGUAAUGCAUCGGAACGUGCCCAGUCGUGGGGGAUAACGCAGCGAAAGCUGUGCUAAUACCGCAUACGAUCUAUGGAUGAAAGCGGGGGACCGUAAGGCCUCGCGCGAUUGGAGCGGCCGAUGUCAGAUUAGGUAGUUGGUGGGGUAAAGGCUCACCAAGCCAACGAUCUGUAGCUGGUCUGAGAGGACGACCAGCCACACUGGAACUGAGACACGGUCCAGACUCCUACGGGAGGCAGCAGUGGGGAAUUUUGGACAAUGGGCGCAAGCCUGAUCCAGCAAUGCCGCGUGCAGGAAGAAGGCCUUCGGGUCGUAAACUGCUUUUGUACGGAACGAAACGGCGAGCUCUAAUACAGUUUGCUAAUGACGGUACCGUAAGAAUAAGCACCGGCUAACUACGUGCCAGCCGCCGCUGUAAUAC